rnacentral:rRNA from 1 species
AUUCAUGACAUCACAUUGAAUACACUGGUUCUCAUCCAAUCACCUAAGUUAAGCAACAUUGAGCCUAGUGAGUACUUAGAUGGGGGACUGCUUGAGAAACCUAGAUGUUGUAAGCA